CCGUGCUAGAUGGGGAGGUAGCGGUGCCUUGUAACCUGCAAUCCGCUAUAGCAGGAUUGAACUCCCAAUCUAGGUUUACUCGUCGCAAGGUCUGCCCUAAGUAAGUGGCGUCGACGGUUGGGUCUUACGCAACGGGAACUCAUGAACCCCGUCAGGUCCGGAAGGAAGCAGCGGUAAGUGAACUCUCUCGUGUGCCGUAGGGUCACCUGGCCUGAGCUAACUGCUUAGGUAACGCUUGUGGUGGUAAAUCAAAAUUGGGUGCACGG
rnacentral:SRP_RNA from 1 species